UCUGGACCCCACCCGCCCUGCACUGAUGUCUUCAACGAGUUCACACCUUGGCCGACAGGCCCGGGUAAUUUUUGAAAUUUCAUCGUGAUGGGGUUAGAUCAUUGCAGUUGUUGGUCUUCAACGAGGAAUUCCUAGUAAGCGCGAGUCAUCAGCUCGCGUUGACUACGUCCCUGCCCUUUGUACACACCGCCCGUCGCUCCUACCGAUUGAAUGAUCCGGUGAAGUGUUCGGGUCGCGGCGACGUGGG
rnacentral:rRNA from 1 species